AUGCAAUAUUUGAGGAUGCAAUAUGAAAACUUGCAAAUGAAAGAUGAUGAAACUAUUGCUGAGUUCUUUUUAAAGGUGGUGGCUUUAGCAAAUAAGAUGAAGUCAUGUGGAGAAAAGACCUCUGAAUUGCAGAAGGUGGAGAAGGUAUUGAGGGCUCUUCAAGUCAAGUUUGAUCAUAUUGUGGUGACAAUUGAAGAAUCUAAAGAUUUGUCAGAGAUGAAGCUUGAAGAUUUGCAAGCAUCUCUUGAGACACAUCAGAUGAGGCUGAAGUAA